rnacentral:lncRNA from 1 species
UUCUGCUUUCCCUACACAGCAGCCAGCAUCCUGUCUGAGCCUGCAGGGGAGAAACAAUUUUAAAGUAAAAACUUCCAGAUAAGCAGGAUUCUCCCAUUUUACAAUGACUUCUGCUGCUCAUUUGACCCUUGUGCUUCUGUGGUGGAGCAUCUCUAUUUGACAGUGAUGGAACCUGAGACUCAGAGAGGGCAAGUGAGUGACUCAAGGCCACACAGCUGGGCAAGGGAAGCCAUACGCAGGACUCCAUCCACAGCUUGCUUUUGCCCCUCUACCCAGCUGGGUUCUGAGGCCAGGUCCUUGUCACAGUCCUCAAGCCUGGCUGGCACACAGCAGGGAAGGAAGAGUUUUCCAGCAGUUUCUGCAUGUCCCUUCCCUAAUGGGGACUAAGAAGGAGGGCUUAGUCCCUAAGCCAGGGAACUGAAAGUUCUGGCCACGGAAACCUCUAGAUUGAAGAGCACCAGCAGCUGAAGAGUGGGCCAGAGGUUUUGCAAGCUGCUGCCAGGCUGCCUGCUUUCUGGUGCUUAGAGAGGAAGGCUGACCUCGAAAGCCCUCACCGCAUCCAUGAAGCCUUACAAGACCUGGCCUCCGGCUACUUCUCCAGGCUCACUACCCCCACUCCACUCUCCCCUCCACUCUCUCAGCACUGCCACAUCGACUUCCUAAAGCCCGCCCAGCCUGCCCAGCCUUGAAGCUUCGUCAGCUCUGAUCGGCUGGCUUGGAAUUGCCCUUCCCAGACACCCUCUUGGCUCCCACUCACAUCCUCCCUUUCCCCAGUCCCUUCGGUGCCUCCAGACCUCCUGCAUGAUGGGCCUGUUCCUUCACCACUUGCCGUCACCCUGUGGGGUGGGUGUUGAGUUUCUUCUUCAUCACCUUGGUCAGUGCUGCAUGUUACUGUGUAGCCCUUGGUUGCUUCUCUCCCCUACCAGUGCCCAGAGGGCAUGAGCUCUCUUUUGUACUCUGUUAUAUCUCCAGUUCCUGGGGGUAGGCACCUGAUAAAAAUUUAGGGAAUGCAUACAUAGCCUAGAGGCCAAUUUCCCCUUUAGAUGUUGACUGUCCCUUUUCUCCAAGUAGGGAGAGUGGUGACGGGGCGUGGAGAGGCAGAGGGGAGAGAAGGAGCAGUGUUACCAGCGAGUCUGUCUGGCAAUGAUAUCUGCCUCAACCCCUUUUUGUCCCAGCGGUGUAGACGCAGGUCAGAUGACUUUCCAACUCUAUGCGGCUCUUGCCUGUCCCUCCAUCCCUGCUGCGGUGAACCUCUCAUCUGAGCCUCCCCAACAGUUUGUGCAAAGACUCCACUUAACGUUGGUCUGUUGACUGUCACGGGCAUCUGUGAGCCUCCUGUGCCUUCUUGUUUAACAACGAUCUCAGCUUGUGGCGAGGGAGUGGUGAUGGCACAGGGUAGAGCUGCCAGAGGGGUCAGCUUGGCCUGGGUUCGGGCUCAGGAGUGCCAGCUUCCUCGAGGAGUGGGAGGUCGGUCAUGCAAGGGAGAGCGUUGAGCCCAGGCCCCAGGAUAACUGAGACUGUUUGGAGGUGGUGUCCCCAACCCUCGCUUACGUGGGCGGGUCUCAGCGGGGCGAGGCUUAGCUUGCCUGCUGAGCCCUGCAAAUGCAGGUGAGGCGGCUCAAGCGUUUCCACCUGGACUGGCGUGGCGCUCAGGCCUCUGCGUCUCUCUCUUCCCGUGUAUGCAGAGUCAGCUGCCCUGCCCUCGUGGGUCUGUGUGUUUGUGAGCGUGUGUCUAUUCGUGCCAUGAGUGUGACACCUGUGGGUGUGUGCUUGUGUGAGCUGUGUCUGUGUACACCCUCACAUGUGUCUCUUUGUGGGGCUUUCUUCCAGGCCUGUGAUUCUAAAAUCAACACAACCAAAUCCACACUCGUCGCUGGCUUUCCCUGCCCUGCUGUGGAGCACAUGAACCCGGGGACGCAUUCGGCUUUCCUUUGAUAGGGGAAGGCAGCCCAAACAGCACCCAGACCAAGAGCCUGGAUCAGGGAUCCUGCUGCCUGAGACUUUCUAACUAGGCCAAGAAAUGAGGACACUGAACUACUUCUUCUUGAGAUGACGGAAUCUUGACCAGACCAGAGGGAGUGAGGUCUAUCUAUCCCACGAAGAAACUGAGAUGCAGCUUAUGAAAUAGAGGCUGACAAUGGCUCACCCACCUCCUUUGUAAGAGCCUGGUGUGUGCUACAGGAGCAUGGCCCAUAUACGUGUCAGGUUGAAGGACAACUCAGGAGCUGUCCAAGGCUCAACUUGGCCCCACUUGCCCCAUCUGGCAGCCUGGACCGAGCAUUGUUCAUUGAGUCCCACACCCACAUGGCCCCAGAGUCAAACCGCCUUUCAUGCUGAAGAAUGGAACUGACACUCCCAGCAACAUCUCCCCCAACCAUGCCCAUCUGUUAAUCCAACUUAAAAAGAAGGAAAAAAAAAUGACAAUGGAAAUGGAAA